ensembl:lincRNA
GUCCGCUGCCUCUGGGCCAGGCCGCUCGUGCCUCAGCAGCUUUCUCCAGACUGGGCAGUUCCCAAGGCCCUCUUGGCCAGGCCUUUCCAAACGUCCGAACUCAAUGUCCUGACAAAAUAGCCUUCCUUGGUCAUUCUGGCAUUUCAUCCUUGUCGUCUUACCCAUCCACUCUUUCUUUCAUUUGUGCAGGGUAACAAAUUUUUUAUUCAAAUAAAAAAAAUUGCAAUAGCCAAAUACCCAGGACAAUAAGUAACGAUAAAGACUUCAGCUUAGAUUUAAUAAUGUUUCUCAUGUAUUUGGACAAAGACAAUAAAGCCUCCAGGCUCUCUGGGGUGAGUUGUAGAAUUUCGAAAGGUUCAUUCUAUGCACUGACGAUUGCUUCUGGGUUAUUUUAAGGGGGAAGAAUGAUUACUGCCAACAGUCCUCAGAAUCCGCGAUGCACAGCUGACUUGGGAGCUCAGUACAUCACCUGCACGCCUCAUUAUGCCGAAAAGCAUCGAGAAUUUUAUGAGGAGUUGUUAGCUCAUGGGGUUUUGGUGCCUCUGACCUCGCCUAUUGAAGGAAUGAUGGUGAAGGAAGGAGAUUGCAACUUUGUGGCACCUCAAGGAAUCUCUUCAAUUAUUAAGCACUACUUGAAAGAAUCAGGUGCAGAAGUCUUCUUCAAACAGCGUGUGACCCAGAUCAACCUGAGAAAUAAUGUGUGGGAAGUCUCCAAAGAGACAGGCUCCCCUGAGCAAUUUGACCUUGUUAUCCUCACCAUGCCAGCUCCUCAGAUUCUGGAACUUCAAGGUGACAUUGUGAACUAUGCCAUUGCCUCCUGGGAUCCCAUAGACAAUACCUCAGGCCCUGCAGCAAGACAGCUUUCCUUUGGGGAAGAGUAGACGGUGCCUCAGGGCUUUGCUGUCUCUGCUCUUUUUGUUCAUCUGGUUUGUCAAGGGAGAGAUCAGAGCUGGACCAUGUGUGUGUUAGACAAGAAUCUGCCUGAACCUCGUCCCAGCUCCCUGAUGCUUAUCCUGUCUGCAGUGAAACAACUGCUGGCAACCUUGGCAAAAAUAGUUGUGAUGAUUAUUUGUGUAUUAGCUUUGCCUUCCUGUAUCACAUAGUUUCUUUUUUUCUCCUUUUCCCUACAUUUAGCUUUAUCCAGCUUUGCUUUGUCUCCCUUCCUCAUCUUACUCCUUUAAUUUUAUUCAUUUAUUUCCUUAAGAUUCCUAUAUAAUCUAUAGAUACUGUCAGUUCACAUGCCUAAAGAAAUCUCAGCUAUACCUUGAUAAGGGAGACUUGUGUUGGACCAGAGGAUUGCAUUUCCUGUCAGUAGUAUACUAAAGAUUUUCUUUUGUAUAAAACUUUGAUUUUUAUAGAAAAGCACUAUUUGCUUAAAAUUAGCCUGAAGUUUUCAUAGGAUUAUGUGUUUUUGUAUCAGGGACACUCAAAAUUGGGCUUGUUGAAUCCUUACUGGCCCAGAAUGAUUUUACUUAGGAAAAGCUCCUAUAGUGUCAUUGACAUUAAAAUUUACAUCUUGCUUAGUAUUACUUUAUUACUUUUACUUUUUAGAUACCCUGGAUUGAACCAAGGGCCUAGCAUGACAGGCAGUCAUUCUGCCAGAAAUGCAUUCCCAUUGCUUAGGUUAUUGAGUCAGGAUUUCGAAAUACUGUCUACUGCCCCAGAACUUCUGAGACUCAUGUACCUCCUACUUCUGCAUCACUAGUGUUGGGAUUAUGGGUAGGCCACCACACCCAGUCAGUACUCCAAAUUCUAAUCCAAUUUGUGCAGGAUUAAAUUUUUGCACAUUAGAUCUGUCAUGUGUUCUUUCAGUAUACACUAACCGAACCUCUGUGUUUCAGGCACUACCAUAGAAUUUGCUAGUGUGUCAAUAAAUACUUUGAAAUCACACUGUAACUUUUGGUUCAGGCCAAACUAUAAAUUGGCCCCAUUUCAGGGAAGUUCAGUUAAUGAAUGAUGAAAAGUCUCGUUAGAAGUUAAGUCUUCAAAGAGUGCUAACAUCGUGUCUGGUAUAGCACUAGCCAGGAGCUGAGUCUGCCAGCACUUGUCUAAGCAUUUGCUCCAGGGUGGAAGGAAAGCAAAAGUUACUGUGUCUUUGGUAAUACCAUUUAGUAAGAGUUAUGAUGGAAAUAAGUCCAAAUCCUGUCUAAAAUCCAGACUCCAUUUUCCUUGGUAGGUGUUCCCAGAGUUCCCUUAGUUCCUGCUGCUCUCUUCCUGCUGCCCUCUUCUUUGUUGUUUCCCUGUGUCACAAUUUUAACUCUUCUCUCUCUUCUCUUUUGUACAUUUGGAUAUAUUUUCUUUAUGUAUGCUCCAAUUGUUGGUUUUUCAAGACAGGGUUUCUCUGUGUAGCUUUGGAGCCUAUCCUGGAACUCACUCUGUAGACCAAGCUGGCCUCCAACUCACAGAGACCCGCCUGUCUCUGCCUCCUGAGUGCGCCACCAACACCCUGCCAAACUUUUUAAAUCAUUUGGUGGUAUUUUCUUUAUUAAAUCUUAUUAACCAAAAUCUUGUAUUCCCCAUGCGUGUUGCCCACUGUGAAUAGGCUGGAUUUCAUCCUGUCUUGCUAAAACUCACAGCAGUUUCCCAUCACUUACAAAUACCUAUCAUUGUCUUAAUUCAUACAAGCAUGGGAGGAAAAACAGUCAGAAGGUUAGACACACUUACUCUAGACUCUGGAGCAAGGGUUGUCCAAUGAUCUCUACCAUGUCCAUCCUCCUCAUAAAAUAAGAAUAAGAAGAAUAAAAGUAAUGAACACAUUUUAGUUACUUAACCUGUUAGAGCAAGGACUUGCUUUCACUAUGAGUCAACUUGGAUAAAGCAGAGAUUGAUUCCAAAGCAUCCAGCAUUAAGUUUUAUUUUUUAAUACGAGAGAGGGGGG